rnacentral:rRNA from 1 species
GCGACCCCAGUCAGGCGGGACUACCCGCUGAGUUUA